UGUUUUGAUUAUAUUGCAAUUGAGAAAAAAGAAAAGAAAAUGGGAUGAUAAUUAUAGUAGGCAAAAAUUAAGGGAUGUUAGUGUCGAUAGGAUUAUGUAUUUUAGUGAUCUAGCAUGUAUAGAAAACACAAGAAUGGAUAGGCGUGCCUUUCAUGCAUUGUGUAACAUGCUUAGAGGGGUUGGAAGGAUAGAACCAAGUAGGAAUAUGAGUGUAGAAGAAAUGGUUGCCAUGUUUUUACAUAUUAUAGCACAAGGCGUCAAAAUUAGAGUAAUAAAGAGACAUUUUUGAGAUCUGAAGAAACAAUUAGUAGGAGGUUUAAUGAUGUAUUGCUUGCUAUUUUGAGAUGUCAUAAUCUCUCACUGAAGAAACCUCAACCAUUUAGCCAGGAUAGAAUGGAUGACCGAUGAAAAUGGUUCAAGAAUUGCCUAGAAGCCCUAAAUGGCACCCAUAUCAAAGUCAAUGUCCUUGAGGCUGGUAAGCCUAGAUAUCAACAGAAAAGGUGACAUAACAACCAAUGUACUUGGAGUGGUUGUUCCCAAUAUGCAAUUUAUCUAAUGCACUGGCGGGUUGGGAGGGUUCAGCGGUGGAUUCUAAGGUCAUUACUACUUAUGUGAUGUUGGAUACAUGAAUUGUGAAGGGUUUUUGGCAUCUUAUAGAGGACAAAAAUAUCAUUGAGUGAGUUUAAUCCACAGAAUCAAUCUAAUACACCCCGAGAGCUUUUUAAUAUGAAACACUCACAAGUUAGGAAUGUCAUUGAAAGGGCAUUUGGAGUAUUGAAAGCAAGAUGGAAAAUUUUAAGGGGAAGGCCAUUUAUCCUAUUUAAGAGUCAAGGAAGAGUUAUAACUAUUUGUUGCCUUUUGCAUAAUCACAUUAGAAGAGUGAUGAUUGUGGAUCUUAUUGAUGAGAUAGAAAACCAAAAUAUGCUUGGAUUAGAUGGUGGGACGAUCCACCAUAUUGAGACGAGCGAUGCUUGGGGUAGAUGGAGGGAUCAACUUGCACAAGAAAUGUGGAACCAAUGGAGGAGAAGACAUCAUGCUCGAUAAUUGUGUUUGUUUUUCUAUGUGUGAGGCCCAAGCAAACACUUUUUGGAGCAUCUCUCUCUAUAUUCCCGUAGUGCAUUAGUCUGAUCAAGUAGAACUGAGUUCUCCUCUAGUAGAACUGCCAGAAAGUUUGUAAACAGCAGCUGUCUAUUGCAACAUUGAUUUCAUUUUAUUGAUGCGUUUCUGUUCUUGUACAAGAGUUGUGUAUGUUUGCGUCUUUGUAGCUUUGAUUUGGAUAAUAGUGAAGCUUUUACCUUCUGGUGGGUUUUUUUAUCUCUCUUAUAUUGAGAGGUUUUUUCCCACAUUAAAGUUUGGUGUUUUGUUUUUCUGCCUCCUCUUUAACAUUUUGCUGCUAUUAACUAUUUAUAUAGUGUGCCUAUAAUAGCC